GUGGGGAAUUUUGGACAAUGGGCGAAAGCCUGAUCCAGCAAUGCCGCGUGCAGGAUGAAGGCCUUCGGGUUGUAAACUGCUUUUGUACGGAACGAAAAGCUUCGGGUUAAUACCCUGGAGCCAUGACGGUACCGUAAGAAUAAGCACCGGCUAACUACGUGCCAGCAGCCGCGGUAAUACGUAGGGUGCAAGCGUUAAUCGGAAUUACUGGGCGUAAAGCGUGCGCAGGCGGUUUUGUAAGACAGAGGUGAAAUCCCCGGGCUCAACCUGGGAACUGCCUUUGUGACUGCAAGGCUGGAGUACGGCAGAGGGGGAUGGAAUUCCGCGUGUAGCAGUGAAAUGCGUAGAUAUGCGGAGGAACACCGAUGGCGAAGGCAAUCCCCUGGGCCUGUACUGACGCUCAUGCACGAAAGCGUGGGGAGCAAACAGGAUUAGAUACCCUAGUAGUCC
rnacentral:rRNA from 1 species